CUGGAGGGUUUGCCCCGUUGGCGCUCCAGCCGACAAAGACAAUCAACGGGUUCUAAACAUGUAGAAGCCUAAGGUUUAGCUCUUUUGGACAGGGGUUCGAUCCCCCUCAGCUCCACCA
rnacentral:tmRNA from 1 species